rnacentral:tRNA from 1 species
GCCUUUAUAGCUCAGUGGUAGAGCGCGGCACUUGUAAUGCCGAGGUCUUCAGUUCAAACCUGAAUGGAGGCA